AUUGAACAACACAAAGCAUUGGUUGAAGUCACUUGUUUAGUUCACGAUUGUCAGGUGAUGACAUUCAGCAGCGAGUUAACAGCAUCAAGUUAGACCUCACAGUGUUUUUUUUUUUUUUUUUUUUUUUUUUUUUUGUGUGUGUGUGUGGAGGCGAGGAGCUUACUCUGGCGUGAAACGAGCCCGGCCAUGUAAUUCGGCAUCCUUGUCAAUGUCGAUUUCAGGUGAAAUUGUUCCCUCCGUUAAAAUUCGGUGGACUUCUCCAUCUCAUUUGUCUUCAGUCCACAUUUCGAGCAUGUCAUCGCGCCUCGAAUAAAACAACAAUGAAGGCCGCAGAAUCUAUGGAGGGUUUCAUCCAAGUGCAAUGUUCACGUUCACCAUUCGCCUCCAACGUCACUGCUCUCCCUUCAGACCUCCGUGGAUUCUAAUUCCUAAACUAAGUCAACUGGAAAUCUCCUUACUGCAUCAAUGUGUAAACCUAGAAGACCGACGGCCACAAACUUCAAAGUGAAUCUGGUUGCUAUCCAUAGUGAUCAUCCCCGUUGGGUACUGGAUACUUUCUUAUACGUUCAUCAACCCCUUAGAAGUUGGCUUUUGUCAAGGAAGGCAUUUGUCUGGGAAUGGAAACCUAAAUAAAACGA